AGGAAACCUCCUGAAGUGAAAUGGACACUAUGAGAAACGGUGACUUGAUCAGCAUAGCCCUGACUGUUAAUGAACAACUUAAUACAUUAUCCCUCUUAGUAUUUUUUUUUGUCUGUUCUACUUAAUAUGACUGGUUUAAUUCUGUAAUUAUCACACAGUUAUUCUUAAGUGUUGAAAAUUAACUGAAAUGUGAUCCCUGUUAAACAUAAGAGUGGGAAUAAGAGAGGGAAGAGAUGUAUAAUUUGGGACAUGCUCAAGCUGACUUGCCCCAAAUGGUAGAGUUAGAAACAUACCAGGGGAUUCCAAUUCAAUCCCAUCAAGGUGGCAUGUACCAAUGCCAUCUCACUAGUCCCAGUGAUCAAUUUCAGUUCACAAUUGAUCAUAAUGAAAGGACUAAGAGUCAAAGGGAGCACAUAAACAAGUCUAGUACCUGCUAACACUAACCGAUAGAAUAAAUAAAGGGGAGAGUGAUCCAACAUGAGAAGUGAGAUACUCAGCAGACUCAUAGAAUGGCAGAUGUCCUAAAUAGCACUCUGGCCUCAGAAUCAGCCCUAAAGGCAUUCGGAUCUGGCUGAAAAGCCCAUGAGAGCAUUUCAGGCAUGGAAAGCCAAGACACUCUGGCAAAAGAUCUCUGUGAGUGAGAUCCCAGUGGAAAGAACAGGUCUUCAAAGAAGGAGGUACCUUCCUCUGAAGGGAGGAGAGAACCUCCACUUUGACUAUGACCUGGUCUAAACAAGAUAAGAUUCAAAGAACUCAGAGGGCUUCCAUAGCCUUGGAAACUCAUGACUGGAGCAUAGGGAGAUUACUGAUGCCAUAGACAGGAGUGUCAAUUGGUAAAGUCAACAACAGGAGUCACUGUGCACUUACUCCUCAUGUAGGAUCUCUGUCCUUAAUGUGCUGUGCAUUGAGAUUUAAUGCUAUAACGAGUACUCAAACAAUAUAUUUCACUUUGUGUUUCUAUGGGGGUGCAAACUGUUGAAAUCUUUACUUAAUGCAUACUAAACUGAUCCUCUGUAAAAAAAAAAAAAAAAAAAAAAAAGAAAUUA